rnacentral:sRNA from 1 species
UAGCUCAUUGACAACCAAUGAAGAUGC